UACGUAGGGGGCGAGCGUUGUCCGGAAUUAUUGGGCGUAAAGAGCUCGUAGGCGGUGUGUCGCGUCGGCCGUGAAAACCUGGGGCUCAACUCUGGGCGUGCGGUCGAUACGGGCAUCACUGGAGUUCGGCAGGGGAGACUGGAAUUCCUGGUGUAGCGGUGAAAUGCGCAGAUAUCAGGAGGAACACCGGUGGCGAAGGCGGGUCUCUGGGCCGAUACUGACGCUGAGGAGCGAAAGCAUGGGUAGCGAACAGG
rnacentral:rRNA from 1 species